rnacentral:tRNA from 1 species
CAGGGCAUAGCUAAACCCCAGUAUAGCACCUCCCUUACACUGAGAAAUUAUCCGUGCAACUCGGAUUGUCCUGA